rnacentral:rRNA from 1 species
AGAGUUUGAUCCUGGCUCAGAUUGAACGCUGGCGGCAUGCCUUACACAUGCAAGUCGAACGGCAGCACGGGGGCAACCCUGGUGGCGAGUGGCGAACGGGUGAGUAAUACAUCGGAACGUGUCCUCUUGUGGGGGAUAACCAGUCGAAAGAUUGGCUAAUACCGCAUGAGAUCGCAAGAUGAAAGCGGGGGACCGCAAGGCCUCGCGCGAGAGGAGCGGCCGAUGUCGGAUUAGCUAGUUGGUGGGGUAAAAGCCUACCAAGGCGACGAUCCGUAGCUGGUCUGAGAGGACGACCAGCCACACUGGGACUGAGACACGGCCCAGACUCCUACGGGAGGCAGCAGUGGGGAAUUUUGGACAAUGGGCGCAAGCCUGAUCCAGCCAUGCCGCGUGUGUGAAGAAGGCCUUCGGGUUGUAAAGCACUUUCGGACGGAACGAAAUCGCGCGGUUGAAUAUUCCGCGUGGAUGACGGUACCGUAAGAAGAGA